rnacentral:rRNA from 1 species
UACGUAGGGUGCGAGCGUUGUCCGGAAUUAUUGGGCGUAAAGGGCUCGUAGGCGGUUUGUCGCGUCGGGAGUGAAAACCAUGGGCUUAACUCAUGGCUUGCUUUCGAUACGGGCAGACUAGAGGUAUGCAGGGGAGAACGGAAUUCCUGGUGUAGCGGUGAAAUGCGCAGAUAUCAGGAGGAACACCGGUGGCGAAGGCGGGUCUCUGGGCCGAAACUGACGCUGAGGAGCGAAAGCGUGGGGAGCGAACAGG